CCGGAACAUCUCCAUCAGGAGCGCCAGACCAUCCAUGGCUGGAGGUGCUGGUUCAUGCAGAGGACGAGGACGAAGAGGUUGCUAAGGCGCGAGACCAGCACUGGCCCCACAAGGCCUUGGGGGCCAGGAAGAAGGGGAGUCAAGGGAGGGAGGGAGGGGCCCCUUGCCCUCCUUGUCAGCCUGGCUCAUUCCCUCUUCUUCUUCCUCCUCCUCUUUGAAAGCUGCGAGGGAGACCCUCAGGGAGGUAGCAGAGUUCCUGCGAUGGCACCUGGAGGACAGCGUUCUGGUGAGGGACACCUUCAGCCUGCAGGAGCUGCUCCACAAAAUCUCCAAGCGCCUGAUUCAGCACUGCAGCUCCAGGAGGGAUGUGGAGGAGCAGGUAUAUGGCUGCCUGCCUUUCUUAGAGAGCCCUAUCCCUCGGCAAAAAAAGGUGUACUUCGCAUAUCUCUUCUCUUCCAGCUGCUGCACAUUGGCUGGCAUCCAGACUCCUUGGGAAAGACCUGGAUGCUGCAGACAGCCUGGUUUUCACAUCCUCAUAAUGAUGCCUCAUCAUCAUUAAUUAAUGUGCAGAGGGCUCUCCAAGCAGGUCCAGCCGGGGCCGCCCCCCACAGAUGCCCCUCCAGCCGAGGCCCCUUUGCACGCCUACCUUGGGAUGGCCAUGAGCACGUGGCUCAGAGUAAGGCCACACUCCCUUGGGAGCCCUCCCCUCCCAUUGCCUUUGUGGCCCCGGAGCCAGCCCUGCUCUGGCAGUGUGGCCCCCUUCAUUGACUCCCACCACUUUCACAGAAGGCUGGGACCAGGCACACACAAUUCCGCCACAUGAGCCCCAGAAACACAGAGGAGGUUUCUGUGGAUCUUCCAAGGUAAGCCCCUAGGGCCCCAUCCCCUUCCCGCGCCCUCCCUCCGUCCCCCCAUGGGAAGUCCCCAGAGGAGGGAGGGAUGAUCUUCUCUGUUUGGUC
rnacentral:lncRNA from 11 species